rnacentral:rRNA from 1 species
GACGAACGCUGGCGGCGUGCUUAACACAUACAAGUCGAACGGUAAGGCCCUUUCGGGGGUACACGAGUGGCGAACGGGUGAGUAACACGUGGGUGAUCUGCCCUGCACUUUGGGAUAAGCCUGGGAAACUGGGUCUAAUACCGAAUAGGACUACACUCUGCAUGGGGUGUGGUGGAAAGCUUUUGCGGUGUGGGAUGGGCCCGCGGCCUAUCAGCUUGUUGGUGGGGUGAUGGCCUACCAAGGCGACGACGGGUAGCCGGCCUGAGAGGGUGUCCGGCCACACUGGGACUGAGAUACGGCCCAGACUCCUACGGGAGGCAGCAGUGGGGAAUAUUGCACAAUGGGCGCAAGCCUGAUGCAGCGACGCCGCGUGGGGGAUGACGGCCUCGGGUUGUAAACCUCUUUCAGCACAGACGAAGCGCAAGUGACGGUAUGUGCAGAAGAAGGACCGGCCAACUACGUGCCAGCCGCCGCGGUAA